UCCUCUUUUUCAACGGCUCGCGUCGCACUGUUGCUAUGGUGACGCUCGUUCCGCCGGCGCUGAAUCAGAGACUGGACGCUGGGCCACAGCUGGACAACCAGCGUCGGCGCGCACGCGUUUCUACAAGCACCAGCCAAACCCAGCUGUGGUAACAACUGGGCCGGAUCUGGCUACACUGAUUCUGGCCGAUUCUGACACUCGGCCGACUGUGCCGAUAGAAAAGUGGGAACUGGGCCAGAUGAUUGUGCUAGCUGGGAAAGGCUGCUUUUUGGUGGAACUGCCAGGAGAACUACAGUUCUUCAAUUCUCUAGUAACAAAGAGGUGAUGAAGAAGUUGCUGAUCAUCCUCCUGUUUCUCACAGGAGCGGCCCCCCU